rnacentral:lncRNA from 1 species
AUUUUUGGUGAUUGGAGAAAGAAAGGGCUGCGGGACUGUGGAAACAUUCUCCACGUGUCUGGCUAUGGGCCGUAUUUCCGUGCUGACUCCUUCAUAUGAUUCCCGUAACAGGCCUCGAGGCAGAUACCGAGUUUCCUACUCUGAUAGCAUGGAAUCUGAGGUUUAGGAUGGCUAAAGUGAUGCAGAGCCCCAUGGCUAGAAUUUCCUUCACUGGUGCUUAGAGUAUUAAUCAAAAAAUGAAAUCUUCACUUGUGUCCAGUAAAGUGUUCCAUCCUGAGAUCUUCUGCUCUGUUUGGACUUCUGCCACUGGAGCUGAACAGCAGAGAAGCCAGGCUGGGUGUCCACCUCUGGAGCUCCACCAACUUCAUCUUAGAGAUUGAGCCUUAGUGAAGAGACACUGCCAGGGGUCACUAAAGCUUCACUGAAAGGGUCCCUGUGCUACAGAGUUGCAGGGUGGAUCUAUCACUCAUCUGUUUGCAGUUGAAGAAGACCCUGGCCAUCAGGAGGAGAAUUCAGCCUCAAGACUCCCUCCUGUCUCCCACUGAUGGGCCCCUUACCCAUGCCCCAGGGACACCACAAAGUCAUAGCCCUGUGACUAUUUUCAUGGAGCUUCAGGAAGUCCCACAAUUGGGACUUCUAGUCACAAGAGAAAGAGUAGAUGAGAUGCCAUAUUUAUUUAUUUAUUUAUUUAUUUAUUUUAUUAGAUAUUUUCUUUAUUUCCAUUUCAAAUGUUAUCCCCUUUCCUAGUUUUCUCUCUGAAAACCCCGUAUCCCUUUCUCCUACCCCAUGCUCACUAACUCACCUACUCCUGCUUCCUGGCCCUGGCAUUCCCCCACACUGGGGCAUAGAACCUUCACAGGACCAAGGACCUCUCCUCCCAUUGA